UACGAAGGGGGCGAGCGUUGUUCGGAUUUACUGGGCGUAAAGGGCGCGCAGGCGGUUCUGUUUGUCGAGUGUGAAAGCCCCGGGCUCAACCUGGGAACUGCGCUCGAAACGGCGGAACUAGAGUUCGGGAGAGGAGAGUGGAAUUCCCAGUGUAGAGGUGAAAUUCGUAGAUAUUGGGAAGAACACCGGUGGCGAAGGCGGCUCUCUGGUACGUGACUGACGCUGAGACGCGAAAGCGUGGGGAGCGAACAGG
rnacentral:rRNA from 1 species